rnacentral:rRNA from 1 species
AUGGAGGAACACAAGAAUUUUCUACAGUCCAAACACUCGGAGAAGUCUGACGACUGGAUUACACGCGAACAAACGAGGACUUUCGCCGGUUGGUUGCAGAAACGUGCCCUGAAUGAUGGCGACAUUCAAAAUGACAUGUACUCGUUGUCCCAGUUACCAUCUUCGAAUAUAAUGACUUUCAAAGGGUACCAGAUAAAUGGGAAUACAUUUUACACGAUCGCCCAAGAUAUGAAGAGCACCAACCAAAACAGUGGUGUCCGCUUUGAUGCAACAACCAACACGGGAAAGGAAACAUAUUAUGGUUACAUAGAGGACAUAUGGGAACUUAACUAUGGAUCAGGUUAUUUGAAGGUCCCUUUGUUUCGGUGCAAAUGGGUCAAUACGACAUGA